rnacentral:rRNA from 1 species
AAAUUCAGUGAUCCUAUGCUGCCGAGAAAAGCCUCUAGUGAGUUCAUACACGGCCCGUACCCCAAACCGACACAGGUGAUCAGGUAGAGAAUACCAAGGCGAUCGAGAGAACUGUGGUUAAGGAACUCGGCAAAAUGCCCCCGUAACUUCGGGAGAAGGGGGACCAUGCCCGGUGAACAUCUUCACGGUGGGAGCUGGGUGUGGUCGCAGAGACCAGAGAGAAGCGACUGUUUACUAAAAACACAGGUCCGUGCGAAGACGUAAGUCGAUGUAUACGGACUGACGCCUGCCCGGUGCUGGAAGGUUAAGAGGACCGGUUAGCCGUAAGGCGAAGCUGAGAAUUUAAGCCCCAGUAAACGGCGGUGGUAACUAUAACCAUCCUAAGGUAGCGAAAUUCCUUGUCGGGUAAGUUCCGACCUGCACGAAUGGCGUAACGACUUCUCUGCUGUCUCGACCACAGACUCGGCGAAAUUGCACUACGAGUAAAGAUGCUCGUUACGCGCGGCAGGACGAAAAGACCCCGGGACCUUUACUAUAGCUUGGUAUUGGCGUUCGAUUCGGUUUGUGUAGGAUAGGUGGGAGACUGUGAAGCAUGCACGCCAGUGUGUGUGGAGUCGUUGUUGAAAUACCACUCUGAUCGUAUUGGACGUCUAACCUCGGCCCAUGAUCUGGGUUAGGGACAGUGCCUGGUGGGCAGUUUAACUGGGGCGGUUGCCUCCUAAAGAGUAACGGAGGCGCCCAAAGGUUCCCUCAGCCUGGAUGGCAAUCAGGUGUUGAGUGCAAGUGCACAAGGGGGCUUGACUGUGAGACUGACACGUCGAGCAGGGACGAAAGUCGGGACUAGUGAUCCGGCACCGGCAAGUGGAAGCGGUGUCGCUCAACGGAUAAAAGGUACCCCGGGGAUAACAGGCUGAUCUUCCCCAAGAAUCCAUAUCGACGGGAUGGUUUGGCACCUCGAUGUCGGCUCGUCGCAUCCUGGGGCUGGAGUAGGUCCCAAGGGUUGGGCUGUUCGCCCAUUAAAGCGGCACGCGAGCUGGGUUUAGAACGUCGUGAGACAGUUCGGUCUCUAUCCGCCGCGCGCGUAAGAAACUUGAGGAAGGCUGUCCCUAGUACGAGAGGACCGGGACGGACGAACCUCUGGUGUGCCAGUUGUUCCACCAGGAGCAUGGCUGGUUAGCUACGUUCGGAAGGGAUAACCGCUGAAAGCAUCUAAGCGGGAAGCCUGUUCCAAGAUGAGGUUUCUCACCACCUUGCGUGGUUAAGGCCCCCUACAGACCAUGGGGUUGAUAGGCCGGAACUGGAAGCGCAGCAAUGCGUGGAGGUGACCGGUACUAAUAGGCCGAGGGCU